UUCCACUCCUAUUUUUUCGUUUUCUUUUUCUAUCCCCUCCUAUUCCCGUCCCCUCCUACUUUAGCUGUCUGCAUCUGCGUUGUUUUGUUUCGAGUAAAAUAAUUACUCCCCACUCCUAUUUUUCCGUUUUCUUUUCUAUCCCCUCCUACCUCGGCUAUCUGCAUCCACGUUGUUUUGUUUCGAGAGAAGGCAAGUGGAUCGGAUGAGGAGGAAGAGAAGAGAAGAGAAAUGAUACUUGAUAAGUGGUAAUUUUCAGGGCAACUCAUUGGCUCCGGUUUUGGGCACAAUUACAAAGGCGUGAUGAAGAUGGAGAGUUUCUGAAAGUUGCAUGUCGCAAGUUGGAGACAAUGGUUAUGCAACUUUAUGCCAACUAUGGAUGGAGAUUCACAAAUAGGCUGGAAUAAAUAUGUUCUCCUUAUUUUGGCUUUUUCUAUUUAAGUGUGUUAUAUUUUAUUUGAACUACACUCUUAUCUCGAGUGCUACUUUGUAAUAAUUGGCUGUAGCUCUUCUUGAGCAAAGGCCGGGAUAUUAUAUUUGAUUAUCUAAAAAAAGUAGCUGAUGAUAAGUAUGCA